rnacentral:rRNA from 1 species
GUCGAGAAUAAUUCACAAUGGGGGCAACCCUGAUGGUGCAACGCCGCGUGGAGGAUGAAGGUCUUCGGAUUGUAAACUCCUGUCAUCCGGGAGCAAGACCUGGCCGUGAAUAGCGGACAGGGUUGAUAGUACCGGAAGAGGAAGGGACGGCUAACUUCGUGCCAGCAGCCGCGGUAAUACGAAGGUCCCGAGCGUUGUUCGGAAUCACUGGGCGUAAAGGGAGCGUAGGAGGCGCGGUAAGUCAGAUGUGAAAUCCUAGGGCUCAACCCUGGAACUGCAUCCGAUACUGCUGUGCUUGAGCAAUGGAGAGGUAGCCGGAAUUCUCGGUGUAGCAGUGAAAUGCGUAGAUAUCGAGAGGAACACUCGUGGCGAAAGCGGGCUACUGGACAUUUGCUGACGCUGAGGCUCGAAGGCCGGGGGAGCGAAAGGGAUUAGAAACCCUGGUAGUCC